GGAAGUGUACAAUACUUUUGUGUUGCUAUAUAUUACGAGCGAAACAGAGAAAACAAAUGGUAGUGACGAGGACUCUUUAAUAUUGACGUAAACUCAUUCAUCUCCUAUUAGUAGUAGUUAAAUGUUUGUGCCAUGGGAGAUGAAGGCUAAUUUUUUAGCAUUGUCUACACUAUGAUUAUUAUCAUUUGAACUAUAUUUUUAACCUUUUUAAAUU